rnacentral:piRNA from 1 species
UGGGAUACGACCAUGAGCGCGGGGAAGAGC